rnacentral:rRNA from 1 species
UACGUAGGGACCGAGCGUUGUCCGGAAUCAUUGGGCGUAAAGAGCGUGUAGGCGGCCAACUAAGUCCUGCGUGAAAUCUCGGGGCUCAACCCCGAGCGGUCGUGGGAAACUGGUUGGCUAGAGUGCGGGAGAGGAGAGUGGAAUUCCUGGUGUAGCGGUGGAAUGCGCAGAUAUCAGGAGGAACACCAACGGCGAAGGCAGCUCGCUGGGACGGUACUGACGCUAAGGCGCGAAAGCGUGGGGAGCGAACAGG